CAGUCGCCGCGGUAAUACAGAGGGUGCGAGCGUUAAUCGGAUUUACUGGGCGUAAAGCGUGCGUAGGCGGCUUUUUAAGUCGGAUGUGAAAUCCCUGAGCUUAACUUAGGAAUUGCAUUCGAUACUGGGAAGCUAGAGUAUGGGAGAGGAUGGUAGAAUUCCAGGUGUAGCGGUGAAAUGCGUAGAGAUCUGGAGGAAUACCGAUGGCGAAGGCAGCCAUCUGGCCUAAUACUGACGCUGAGGUACGAAAGCAUGGGGAGCAAACAGGAUUAGAGACCCCCGUAGUCCCUGUCUCUUAUAU
rnacentral:rRNA from 1 species